rnacentral:lncRNA from 1 species
UUUGGUACAAUUUUUUCCUCUCUGCUAAAAUUUGAAGCUUGUCUCAUGGCUUUUGUUCAUUUUAUUUAGGCAGUUUAGGAAAACAAAACUAUAAGAUAAUAUGCAUGGUAUUGUGGGUAAGUAGAUGCAAAUACAUAUAUCACUAUAUCCCAAAAAAGGGAUAGCCAUUAGCAAUAAGGGGACAAAGGAAGAGAGUGAAUGGAUGAUUAGUCACUCUCAAGAGUGUUUGGCAAAGGUGACAAGGUAAUAGGUACAACUUUAUCAUCAUCUUAGGUGGAUAGUGGGUCAUGUGACAUGUCCCAUUGCUGCAACCAUGGGCCACAACUAUGUCAUCCACCACAAAUUCAUUCCCUUCAUAUCUUCAUUCAACUUUUUCCACUAUAUGAAUACAUGGUUCAGUGACCCUCUCCUCAACACAGCACACAAUUCAGAUCACAAAUUAAACACAUAUUCUUCUCUUCUAAGGCUCCUGAAUAAGUAGAAAUAAUUAAGCAGAUGGCAUCAUAUUCAGUUAGAGGCUUAUCAAAGGUUCGGUCAUGGGAGAAAUGUUCCAAGCAAAUUAGGCAGCAUAGGACAAGGCUUUACAUAAUAUGGAGAUGCACUGUGUUACUAUUGUGCAGGCAAGACUAAACUAUCAUCAUAGCUUGGUGCUAGUUACCAUAAGUUGAAGAAAUGGGUAAAAGUAAAGUUACUUAGUUUUUAUGUUAAGGGUAGGUAGGUAAAAGAAACAAUAUGUUCAUGCUGAAUGUGUACAUUAUUAUAAAGUAGCUUCUAUACAAUUGAAGUUAAAGAUGAUACUUCAACUCAAUCUCAAUUUCAGGUCUCAGUUUUGUUGAUCCCAUUACUUAGUUUUGUUUUUUUGUUUUACUAACAUGAUGAGGCUACAACACACCAUUUGGGUGGUAACUAAUGUUAUAGAGUGCAAAAUUGCAAUUCCUUUGAAACUUUUUGACUUAAUAAAGAAGUUGGUUAUGACACCAAAUUGGUUCAGCACCUUGAAGUAAAUGGACAAUCAACCAUUUUCUAUCUUAAUACAAGUAAAUAAAUGGAAUCUUAGAACAAGG